rnacentral:rRNA from 1 species
UACGUAGGGGCCUAGCGUUGCUCGGAAUCACUGGGCGUAAAGCGCACGUAGGCGGCUUUUUAAGUCAGGGGUGAAAUCCCGGGGCUCAACCUCGGAACUGCCUUUGAUACUGCGAAUCUUGAGUCCGAUAGAGGUGGGUGGAAUUCCUAGUGUAGAGGUGAAAUUCGUAGAUAUUAGGAAGAACACCGGUGGCGAAGGCGGCCCACUGGAUCGGUACUGACGCUGAGGUGCGAAAGCGUGGGGAGCAAACAGG